rnacentral:rRNA from 1 species
AUUGAACGCUGCGGCAUGCUUUACACAUGCAAGUCGGACGGCAGCACAGAGAAGCUUGCUUCUUGGGUGGCGAGUGGCGAACGGGUGAGUAAUAUAUCGGAACGUACCGAGUAAUGGGGGAUAACUAAUCGAAAGAUUAGCUAAUACCGCAUAUUCUCUGAGGAGGAAAGCAGGGGACCUUCGGGCCUUGCGUUAUUCGAGCGGCCGAUAUCUGAUUAGCUAGUUGGUGGGGUAAAGGCCUACCAAGGCGACGAUCAGUAGCGGGUCUGAGAGGAUGAUCCGCCACACUGGGACUGAGACACGGCCCAGACUCCUACGGGAGGCAGCAGUGGGGAAUUUUGGACAAUGGGCGCAAGCCUGAUCCAGCCAUGCCGCGUGUCUGAAGAAGGCCUUCGGGUUGUAAAGGACUUUUGUCAGGGAAGAAAAGGCUGUUGCUAAUACCGACAGCUGAUGACGGUACCUGAAGAAUAAGCACCGGGCUAAGUCGUAACAAGG